rnacentral:lncRNA from 1 species
CAGUGUCUCAGCUAAUGUAAUUCCACCUCUAUUGCUGGUGCUGCUUAGAUGGCUGAUUAACUCCAUGGAUAAUCUCCCUAUGGACUGAUUGUCCAGCCAUCUUUGAUGUUCUCUCUGGAAAACAUUUUCUCAUUUUUUUGCAAUAUGAAUAGAAUGAUAGAUUUUCCAAAUCUUCAAGUUCUGGUUCCACUUUAACAGUUUUUUUUUUCAUUUUCUUCCUUUCUUUCUUUCUCUUUCUUUCUUUCUCUUUUCUUUCUCCUUCCUUCCUUCCUCUCUUUCUUUCUCUCUCUUUCCUUCCUUCCUUCCUCUCUCUCUUUCUUUCUCUCUCUCUUUCCUUCCUUCCUUCUUUCUAUCUCUCUUUUUCUUUCUUCUAAAUUGAGACAGCAUCUUGGUUUGUCACCCAAGCUGGAGUACAGUGGCUCAGCUCACUGCAAUCUCGAUCUUCUGGGCUCAAGUGAUCCUUCUGCCUCAGCCUCCCAAGUAGCUGGGACCACAAGUGCAUGCUACCAACAGGCCUGACUAUUUUUUUUCUAUUUUUCUGUAGAUACAGGGCCUUGCUAUGCUGCCCAGGCUGGUCUCAAACUCCCGAGUUCAAGCGAUCUUGCCUUGGCCUCCCAAAGUCCUGAGAGUACAAGAGUGAGCCACCACACCCAGCCAAGAAAUUUUUCAGUUUC